CUGUAAAUUUCGACAUACUAAAACGCUGUUUUCUGACUAUCAGAAUUCUGUUAAAUCUUCCCCCAAAGUCCAGGAAAUGGUAUUUUAGAGACUCUAAAUUUAAAAAUUUCCUCGGGCCUUCGGCCCUCGCUUUCAUCCCCCCCAAUCGAAAAGAGCUUCCUACGGCCCUGUUAUGCCGUUGAAUGUAUUUGGCGUAACCAUUCAACUUGGAAGAUAGUUGACUGUUGAUG